GUGCCAGCCGCCGCGGUAAUACGUAGGUGGCAAGCGUUGUCCGGAUUUAUUGGGCGUAAAGCGAGCGCAGGCGGUUUUUUAAGUCUGAUGUGAAAGCCUUCGGCUCAACCGAAGAAGUGCAUCGGAAACUGGGAAACUUGAGUGCAGAAGAGGACAGUGGAACUCCAUGUGUAGCGGUGAAAUGCGUAGAUAUAUGGAAGAACACCAGUGGCGAAGGCGGCUGUCUGGUCUGUAACUGACGCUGAGGCUCGAAAGUAUGGGUAGCAAACAGGAUUAGAUACCCUGGUAGUCCAUACCGUAAACGAUGAAUGCUAAGUGUUGGAGGGUUUCCGCCCUUCAGUGCUGCAGCUAACGCAUUAAGCAUUCCGCCUGGGGAGUACGGCCGCAAGGCUGAAACUCAAAGGAAUUGACGGGGGCCCGCACAAGCGGUGGAGCAUGUGGUUUAAUUCGAAGCUACGCGAAGAGCCUUACCAGGUCUUGACAUACUAUGCAAAUCUAAGAGAUUAGACGUUCCCUUCGGGGACAUGGAUACAGGUGGUGCAUGGUUGUCGUCAGCUCGUGUCGUGAGAUGUUGGGUUAAGUCCCGCAACGAGCGCAACCCUUAUUAUCAGUUGCCAGCAUUAAGUUGGGCACUCUGGUGAGACUGCCGGUGACAAACCGGAGGAAGGUGGGGAUGACGUCAAACCAUCAUGCCCCUUAUGACCUGGGCUACACACGUGCUACAAUGGAUGGUACAACGAGUUGCGAACUCGCGAGAGUAAGCUAAUCUCUUAAAGCCAUUCUCAGUUCGGAUUGUAGGCUGCAACUCGCCUACAUGAAGUCGGAAUCGCUAGUAAUCGCGGAUCAGCAUGCCGCGGUGAAUACGUUCCCGGGCCUUGUACACACCGCCCGU
rnacentral:rRNA from 1 species